rnacentral:rRNA from 1 species
AGCGUACACGGUGGAUGCCCUGGCAGUCAGAGGCGAUGAAGGACGUGCUAAUCUGCGAUAAGCGUCGGUAAGGUGAUAUGAACCGUUAUAACCGGCGAUUUCCGAAUGGGGAAACCCAGUGUGAUUCGUCACACUAUCAUUAACUGAAUCCAUAGGUUAAUGAGGCGAACCGGGGGAACUGAAACAUCUAAGUACCCCGAGGAAAAGAAAUCAACCGAGAUUCCCCCAGUAGCGGCGAGCGAACGGGGAGCAGCCCAGAGCCUGAAUCAGUAUGUGUGUUAGUGGAAGCGUCUGGAAAGGCGCGCGAUACAGGGUGACAGCCCCGUACACAAAAAUGCACAUGCUGUGAGCUCGAUGAGUAGGGCGGGACACGUGGUAUCCUGUCUGAAUAUGGGGGGACCAUCCUCCAAGGCUAAAUACUCCUGACUGACCGAUAGUGAACCAGUACCGUGAGGGAAAGGCGAAAAGAACCCCGGCGAGGGGAGUGAAAAAGAACCUGAAACCGUGUACGUACAAGCAGUGGGAGCACAGAGCAAUCUGUGUGACUGCGUACCUUUUGUAUAAUGGGUCAGCGACUUAUAUUCUGUAGCAAGGUUAACCGAAUAGGGGAGCCGAAGGGAAACCGAGUCUUAACUGGGCGUUAAGUUGCAGGGUAUAGACCCGAAACCCGGUGAUCUAGCCAUGGGCAGGUUGAAGGUUGGGUAACACUAACUGGAGGACCGAACCGACUAAUGUUGAAAAAUUAGCGGAUGACUUGUGGCUGGGGGUGAAAGGCCAAUCAAACCGGGAGAUAGCUGGUUCUCCCCGAAAGCUAUUUAGGUAGCGCCUCGUGAAUUCAUCUCCGGGGGUAGAGCACUGUUUCGGCAAGGGGGUCAUCCCGACUUACCAACCCGAUGCAAACUGCGAAUACCGGAGAAUGUUAUCACGGGAGACACACGGCGGGUGCUAACGUCCGUCGUGAAGAGGGAAACAACCCAGACCGCCAGCUAAGGUCCCAAAGUCAUGGUUAAGUGGGAAACGAUGUGGGAAGGCCCAGACAGCCAGGAUGUUGGCUUAGAAGCAGCCAUCAUUUAAAGAAAGCGUAAUAGCUCACUGGUCGAGUCGGCCUGCGCGGAAGAUGUAACGGGGCUAAACCAUGCACCGAAGCUGCGGCAGCGACGCUGAUGCGUUGUUGGGUAGGGGAGCGUUCUGUAAGCCUGUGAAGGUGUGCUGUGAGGCAUGCUGGAGGUAUCAGAAGUGCGAAUGCUGACAUAAGUAACGAUAAAGCGGGUGAAAAGCCCGCUCGCCGGAAGACCAAGGGUUCCUGUCCAACGUUAAUCGGGGCAGGGUGAGUCGACCCCUAAGGCGAGGCCGAAAGGCGUAGUCGAUGGGAAACAGGUUAAUAUUCCUGUACUUGGUGUUACUGCGAAGGGGGGACGGAGAAGGCUAUGUUGGCCGGGCGACGGUUGUCCCGGUUUAAGCGUGUAGGCUGGUUUUCCAGGCAAAUCCGGAAAACUAAGGCUGAGGCGUGAUGACGAGGCACUACGGUGCUGAAGCAACAAAUGCCCUGCUUCCAGGAAAAGCCUCUAAGCAUCAGGUAACAUCAAAUCGUACCCCAAACCGACACAGGUGGUCAGGUAGAGAAUACCAAGGCGCUUGAGAGAACUCGGGUGAAGGAACUAGGCAAAAUGGUGCCGUAACUUCGGGAGAAGGCACGCUGAUAUGUAGGUGAAGUCCCUCGCGGAUGGAGCUGAAAUCAGUCGAAGAUACCAGCUGGCUGCAACUGUUUAUUAAAAACACAGCACUGUGCAAACACGAAAGUGGACGUAUACGGUGUGACGCCUGCCCGGUGCCGGAAGGUUAAUUGAUGGGGUCAGCGCAAGCGAAGCUCUUGAUCGAAGCCCCGGUAAACGGCGGCCGUAACUAUAACGGUCCUAAGGUAGCGAAAUUCCUUGUCGGGUAAGUUCCGACCUGCACGAAUGGCGUAAUGAUGGCCAGGCUGUCUCCACCCGAGACUCAGUGAAAUUGAACUCGCUGUGAAGAUGCAGUGUACCCGCGGCAAGACGGAAAGACCCCGUGAACCUUUACUAUAGCUUGACACUGAACAUUGAGCCUUGAUGUGUAGGAUAGGUGGGAGGCUUUGAAGUGUGGACGCCAGUCUGCAUGGAGCCGACCUUGAAAUACCACCCUUUAAUGUUUGAUGUUCUAACGUUGACCCGUAAUCCGGGUUGCGGACAGUGUCUGGUGGGUAGUUUGACUGGGGCGGUCUCCUCCUAAAGAGUAACGGAGGAGCACGAAGGUUGGCUAAUCCUGGUCGGACAUCAGGAGGUUAGUGCAAUGGCAUAAGCCAGCUUGACUGCGAGCGUGACGGCGCGAGCAGGUGCGAAAGCAGGUCAUAGUGAUCCGGUGGUUCUGAAUGGAAGGGCCAUCGCUCAACGGAUAAAAGGUACUCCGGGGAUAACAGGCUGAUACCGCCCAAGAGUUCAUAUCGACGGCGGUGUUUGGCACCUCGAUGUCGGCUCAUCACAUCCUGGGGCUGAAGUAGGUCCCAAGGGUAUGGCUGUUCGCCAUUUAAAGUGGUACGCGAGCUGGGUUUAGAACGUCGUGAGACAGUUCGGUCCCUAUCUGCCGUGGGCGCUGGAGAACUGAGGGGGGCUGCUCCUAGUACGAGAGGACCGGAGUGGACGCAUCACUGGUGUUCGGGUUGUCAUGCCAAUGGCACUGCCCGGUAGCUAAAUGCGGAAGAGAUAAGUGCUGAAAGCAUCUAAGCACGAAACUUGCCCCGAGAUGAGUUCUCCCUGACUCCUUGA